rnacentral:rRNA from 1 species
CCUACGGGUGGCAGCAGUGGGGAAUAUGGCACAAUGGGGGAAACCCUGAUGCAGCGACGCCGCGUGAAGGAAGAAGGAUUUCGGUAUGUAAACUUCUAUCAGCAGGGAAGAAAAUGACGGUACCUGACUAAGAAGCCCCGGCUAACUACGUGCCAGCAGCCGCGGUAAUACGGCGGGGGCAAGCGUUAUCCGGAUUUACUGGGUGUAAAGGGAGAGUAGGCGGUUCAGCAAGGCAGAAGUGAAAGCCCGGGGCUCAACUCCGGGACUGCUUGUGAAACUGUUGAACUAGAGUGCAGGAGAGGUAAGUGGAAUGCCUAGUGUAGCGGUGAAAUGCGUAGAUAUUAGGAGGAACACCAGUGGCGAAGGCGGCUUACUGGACUGUAAAUGACGCUGAGGCUCGAAAGCGUGGGGAGCAAACAGGAUUAGAUACCCGUGUAGUC